rnacentral:rRNA from 1 species
UCCAGACUCCUACGGGAGGCAGCAGUGGGGGAUAUUGCACAAUGGGGGAAACCCUGAUGCAGCGACGCCGCGUGUGGGAAGACGGUCCUCUGGAUUGUAAACCACUGUCCCCAGGGACGAAGAUGACGGUACCUGGGGAGGAAGCUCCGGCUAACUACGUGCCAGCAGCCGCGGUAAUACGGAGGAUGCGAGCGUUAUCCGGAUUUAUUGGGUUUAAAGGGUGCGUAGGCGGUUUUUUAAGUUAGUGGUUAAACGUCGGGGCUUCACCUUGAUUUGCCAUUAAUACUGUAAGACUCGAGUUCAGACGAGGUGGGCGGAAUAAGUUAAGUAGCGGUGAAAUGCUUAGAUAUAACUUAGAACUCCGAUAGCGAAGGCAGCUUACCAGACUGCGACUGACGCUGAAGCACGAGAGCGUGGGUAGCGAACAGGAUUAGAUACCCCAGUAAAU